GCCCCGCCCGGACUGAGACACGGCCCGGACUCCUACGGGAGGCAGCAGUGGGGAAUAUUGGACAAUGGGGGCAACCCUGAUCCAGCCAUGCCGCGUGUGUGAAGAAGGCCUUUUGGUUGUAAAGCACUUUAAGCAGUGAAGAAGACCUUAUGGUUAAUACCCAUAAGCGAUGACAUUAGCUGCAGAAUAAGCACCGGCUA
rnacentral:rRNA from 1 species